rnacentral:rRNA from 1 species
GUAGAGCACUGUUUCGGCAAGGGGGUCAUCCCGACUUACCAACCCGAUGCAAACUGCGAAUACCGGAGAAUGUUAUCACGGGAGACACACGGCGGGUGCUAACGUCCGUCGUGAAGAGGGAAACAACCCAGACCGCCAGCUAAGGUCCCAAAGUCAUGGUUAAGUGGGAAACGAUGUGGGAAGGCCCAGACAGCCAGGAUGUUGGCUUAGAAGCAGCCAUCAUUUAAAGAAAGCGUAAUAGCUCACUGGUCGAGUCGGCCUGCGCGGAAGAUGUAACGGGGCUAAACCAUGCACCGAAGCUGCGGCAGCGACACUAUGUGUUGUUGGGUAGGGGAGCGUUCUGUAAGCCUGUGAAGGUGUACUGUGAGGUAUGCUGGAGGUAUCAGAAGUGCGAAUGCUGACAUAAGUAACGAUAAAGCGGGUGAAAAGCCCGCUCGCCGGAAGACCAAGGGUUCCUGUCCAACGUUAAUCGGGGCAGGGUGAGUCGACCCCUAAGGCGAGGCCGAAAGGCGUAGUCGAUGGGAAACAGGUUAAUAUUCCUGUACUUGGUGUUACUGCGAAGGGGGGACGGAGAAGGCUAUGUUGGCCGGGCGACGGUUGUCCCGGUUUAAGCGUGUAGGCUGGUUUUCUAGGCAAAUCCGGAAAACUAAGGCUGAGGCGUGAUGACGAGGCACUACGGUGCUGAAGCAACAAAUGCCCUGCUUCCAGGAAAAGCCUCUAAGCAUCAGGUAACAUCAAAUCGUACCCCAAACCGACACAGGUGGUCAGGUAGAGAAUACCAAGGCGCUUGAGAGAACUCGGGUGAAGGAACUAGGCAAAAUGGUGCCGUAACUUCGGGAGAAGGCACGCUGAUAUGUAGGUGAAGUCCCUCGCGGAUGGAGCUGAAAUCAGUCGAAGAUACCAGCUGGCUGCAACUGUUUAUUAAAAACACAGCACUGUGCAAACACGAAAGUGGACGUAUACGGUGUGACGCCUGCCCGGUGCCGGAAGGUUAAUUGAUGGGGUCAGCGCAAGCGAAGCUCUUGAUCGAAGCCCCGGUAAACGGCGGCCGUAACUAUAACGGUCCUAAGGUAGCGAAAUUCCUUGUCGGGUAAGUUCCGACCUGCACGAAUGGCGUAAUGAUGGCCAGGCUGUCUCCACCCGAGACUCAGUGAAAUUGAACUCGCUGUGAAGAUGCAGUGUACCCGCGGCAAGACGGAAAGACCCCGUGAACCUUUACUAUAGCUUGACACUGAACAUUGAGCCUUGAUGUGUAGGAUAGGUGGGAGGCUUUGAAGUGUGGACGCCAGUCUGCAUGGAGCCGACCUUGAAAUACCACCCUUUAAUGUUUGAUGUUCUAACGUUGACCCGUAAUCCGGGUUGCGGACAGUGUCUGGUGGGUAGUUUGACUGGGGCGGUCUCCUCCUAAAGAGUAACGGAGGAGCACGAAGGUUGGCUAAUCCUGGUCGGACAUCAGGAGGUUAGUGCAAUGGCAUAAGCCAGCUUGACUGCGAGCGUGACGGCGCGAGCAGGUGCGAAAGCAGGUCAUAGUGAUCCGGUGGUUCUGAAUGGAAGGGCCAUCGCUCAACGGAUAAAAGGUACUCCGGGGAUAACAGGCUGAUACCGCCCAAGAGUUCAUAUCGACGGCGGUGUUUGGCACCUCGAU